GCUAUACAUGCAAGUCGAGCGAACAGAUAAGGAGCUUGCUCCUUUGACGUUAGCGGCGGACGGGUGAGUAACACGUGGAUAACCUACCUAUAAGACUGGGAUAACUUCGGGAAACCGGAGCUAAUACCGGAUAACAUAUUGAACCGCAUGGUUCAAUAGUGAAAGGCGGCUUUGCUGUCACUUAUAGAUGGAUCCGCGCCGUAUUAGCUAGUUGGUAAGGUAACGGCUUACCAAGGCAACGAUACGUAGCCGACCUGAGAGGGUGAUCGGCCACACUGGAACUGAGACACGGUCCAGACUCCUACGGGAGGCAGCAGUAGGGAAUCUUCCGCAAUGGGCGAAAGCCUGACGGAGCAACGCCGCGUGAGUGAUGAAGGUCUUCGGAUCGUAAAACUCUGUUAUCAGGGAAGAACAAAUGUGUAAGUAACUGUGCACAUCUUGACGGUACCUGAUCAGAAAGCCACGGCUAACUACGUGCCAGCAGCGGCGGGUAAUAAA
rnacentral:rRNA from 1 species